AGGAGGACACAUGUGGGUGCA
rnacentral:miRNA from 1 species